AUGAACGCUGGCGGCGUGCCUAAUACAUGCAAGUCGUGCGAACAGACGAGGAGCUUGCUCCUCUGACGUUAGCGGCGGACGGGUGAGUAACACGUGGAUAACCUACCUAUAAGACUGGGAUAACUUCGGGAAACCGGAGCUAAUACCGGAUAAUAUAUUGAACCGCAUGGUUCAAUAGUGAAAGACGGUUUUGCUGUCACUUAUAGAUGGAUCCGCGCCGCAUUAGCUAGUUGGUAAGGUAACGGCUUACAAAGGCAACGAUGCGUAGCCGACCUGAGAGGGUGAUCGGCCACACUGGAACUGAGACACGGUCCAGACUCCUACGGGAGGCAGCAGUAGGGAAUCUUCCGCAAUGGGCGAAAGCCUGACGGAGCAACGCCGCGUGAGUGAUGAAGGUCUUCGGAUCGUAAAACUCUGUUAUUAGGGAAGAACAAAUGUGUAAGUAACUAUGCACGUCUUGACGGUACCUAAUCAGAAAGCCACGGCUAACUACGUG
rnacentral:rRNA from 1 species